UACGUAGGGUGCAAGCGUUGUCCGGAAUUAUUGGGCGUAAAGAGCUCGUAGGCGGUCUGUCGCGUCGGCUGUGAAAACUCGGGGCUCAACCCCCGAGCCUGCAGUCGAUACGGGCAGACUAGAGUUCGGUAGGGGAGACUGGAAUUCCUGGUGUAGCGGUGAAAUGCGCAGAUAUCAGGAGGAACACCGGUGGCGAAGGCGGGUCUCUGGGCCGAUACUGACGCUGAGGAGCGAAAGCGUGGGGAGCAAACAGG
rnacentral:rRNA from 1 species